UGUGAGUGACCUCCGACCGGUGCCAGU
rnacentral:piRNA from 1 species